GGAAUAUUGGACAAUGGGGGCAACCCUGAUCCAGCCAUGCCGCGUGUGUGAAGAAGGCCUUUUGGUUGUAAAGCACUUUAAGCGAGGAGGAGGCUACUUAGAUUAAUACUCUGAGAUAGUGGACGUUACUCGCAGAAUAAGCACCGGCUAACUCUGUGCCAGCAGCCGCGGUAAUACAGAGGGUGCAAGCGUUAAUCGGAUUUACUGGGCGUAAAGCGUGCGUAGGUGGCCAAUUAAGUCAAAUGUGAAAUCCCCGAGCUUAACUUGGGAAUUGCAUUCGAUACUGGUUGGCUAGAGUAUGGGAGAGGAUGGUAGAAUUCCAGGUGUAGCGGUGAAAUGCGUAGAGAUCUGGAGGAAUACCGAUGGCGAAGGCAGCCAUCUGGCCUAAUACUGACACUGAGGUACGAAAGCAUGGGGAGCAAACAGGAUUAGAUACCCUGG
rnacentral:rRNA from 1 species